rnacentral:rRNA from 1 species
UACGAAGGGGGCUAGCGUUGCUCGGAAUCACUGGGCGUAAAGGGUGCGUAGGCGGUCUUUAAGUCAGGGGUGAAAUCCUGGAGCUCAACUCCAGAACUGCCUUUGAUACUGAAGAUCUUGAGUUCGGGAGAGGUGAGUGGAACUGCGAGUUGUAGAGGUGAAAUUCGUAGAUAUUCGCAAGAACACCAGUGGCGAAGGCGGCUCACUGGCCCGAUACUGACGCUGAGGCACGAAAGCGUGGGGAGCAAACAGGG